UACCAGCACCCCGAGUGGUCGGGACGUUUAUUGGGCCUAAAGCAUCCGUAGCCGGUUCUACAAGUCUUCCGUUAAAUCCACCUGCUUAACAGAUGGGCUGCGGAAGAUACUAUAGAGCUAGGAGGCGGGAGAGGCAAGCGGUACUCGAUGGGUAGGGGUAAAAUCCGUUGAUCCAUUGAAGACCACCAGUGGCGAAGGCGGCUUGCCAGAACGCGCUCGACGGUGAGGGAUGAAAGAUGGGGGAGCAAACCGG
rnacentral:rRNA from 1 species